AACUCUGAGAAUAUGGAAUGGAAUCUGACGUCAUCACGGCGCUGCUGCUGUCUUGUGUUUUAGAUCAUUAUCCGUACAGCUCUUGGUGCUGCUAGACGUGUGUGUCACUAUGAGCGAGUCAGCAUGAAAUCUAGUAUCAGUAAUCCUAAAUAAUGAGGAGAUAAUGAACACCCUGGUGAAUAUGUGUAACAUAGGCCAAAAUAAUACUGGUAAACAUAUUCAACACCGUU